CCUACGGGAGACAGCAGUCGAGAAUCAUUCACAAUGGGGGAAACCCUGAUGGUGCGACGCCGCGUGGGGGAAUGAAGGUCUUCGGAUUGUAAACCCCUGUCAUGUGGGAGCAAAUUAAAAUGAUAGUACCACAACAGGAAGAGACGGCUAACUCUGUGCCAGCAGCCGCGGUAAUACAGAGGUCUCAAGCGUUGUUCGGAAUCACUGGGCGUAAAGCGUGCGUAGGCUGUUUAGUAAGUCGUGUGUGAAAGGCGCGGGCUCAACCGUGGGCCGGCACAUGAUACUGGGAGACUAGAGUAAUGGAGGGGGAACCGGAAUUCUAGGUGUAGCAGUGAAAUGCGUAGAGAUAGGGAGGAACACUCGUGGCGAAGGCGGGUUCCUGGACAUUAACUGACGCUGAGGUACGAAGGCCAGGGGAGCGAAAGGGAUUAGAUACCCUUGUAGUC
rnacentral:rRNA from 1 species